rnacentral:rRNA from 1 species
UACGAAGGGGGCUAGCGUUGCUCGGAAUCACUGGGCGUAAAGCGCACGUAGGCGGAUCGUUAAGUCAGGGGUGAAAUCCUGGAGCUCAACUCCAGAACUGCCUUUGAUACUGGCGACCUUGAGUUCGGGAGAGGUGAGUGGAACUGCGAGUGUAGAGGUGAAAUUCGUAGAUAUUCGGAAGAACACCAGUGGCGAAGGCGACUCACUGGACACGUAUUGACGCUGAGGUGCGAAAGCGUGGGGAGCAAACAGG